UUAGUUUCAAGUUUAAUGGUUACAGAAUCAAGUUAACGGUAAGUGUUUCAUGUUUAUUAGUCCAUUAAUUGCAUGAUAUUCGUGGUUGCAAGUUAAUGAUCCUAAUUUCAUGUUCAUUGUUCUAAGUUUCAAGUUCCUUUGGUUUCAAGUUCCUUUGGUUUCAAGUUUCAUGAUCUUAGUUUCAAGUUAAUGAUAGGUGUUUCAUGUUUAUUGAUCUAUUAAUUGCAUGAUUUUCAGGGUUGCAAGUUAAUGAUCUUAAGUUCCAUGUUCAUUACUCUAAGUUUUAAGUUCCUUUGGUUUCUAGUUUAAUGAUUCCAGUUUCAAGUUAAUAGUAGGUGUUUCAUGUUUAUUGGUCCAUUAAUCAGGGUUGUAAGUUAAUGAUCCCAAGUUUCAUUUUCAUUGCCCUCAGUUUCAAGUUCAUUUGGUUUCAAGUUUAAUGGUUCUAGUUUCAAGCUAAUGGUAGGUGUUUCAUGUUUAUUAAUCCAUUAAUUGCAUGAUUUUCGGGGUUGCAAGUUAAUGACCUCAAGUUUCAUGUUUAUUUCUCUAAAUUUCAAGUUCCUUUGGUUUCAAGUUUAAUGGUCUCAGUUUUAAGUUAAUGGUAUGCGUUUCAUGUUUAUUGGUCCAUUAAUUGCAUGAUUUUCGGGGUUGCAAGUUAAUGAUCUCAAGUUCGAUGUUCAUUACUCUAAGUUUCAAGUUCCUUUGGUUUCAAGUUUAAUGAUCCAAGUUUCAAGUUAAUGGUAGGUAUUUCAUGUUUAUUGGUCUCAUGUUUCAUGUUUACUGCUUUUUUAGGUUUCCAUUUCUUUCAUAUUUAAUAAUAAUAAAAAAUCUCAGCCAUUUGAUCUACUCCAAUUUAAUCAAAUGGCUAUUUUUUAUGCAUGUAUGAGAUACAUGCAUGUACUGUAGUAGCACCCUCAGAUAAUAAACCACAUUAGUUUGCAUACUUAAUAAUAUUAAUUUCAAAAAGAUUUUUUUUAUGAGAGAUAGUGAAGAUUAGAGAUGGCAAAACCGGUUGUGUUCGCGUCGUGUCAGCUUCAUGUCGUGUUAAAUUUAGGUUGACCCAAACACGAUCCAUUUAAUAAUCUUAUCAAAAUAUUGAGACCUAAACCCGACACGGAAAAUAAACAUGUUACUCAAUAACCAGUUUAAUAUCUACAUAUUUAACAAAUGUUACACACACACGCACACAUACGCACCCACAUAU
rnacentral:lncRNA from 1 species